rnacentral:misc_RNA from 1 species
AAGUCGUAACAAGGUUUUGUGAAGCAACAGAGCUCCUUCUGUAGCGGAGCUGAACGGAGACCUUGCAACCGAGAGGGGGGAGGCGACUGAUAAAAGAAACUCCCAGCGCAAGUCAGCCUAGCUGGCAACACAACCGAACUGCGGGGACGCUGUAAAGCUGGACGGUACCAACCACGGCGCGCCGUGGGGCGGGCUCUCGUGCCCGAGGUCAGAACCCGUCCAGAUGCCACAGUCAGCAAUCCGCAGCGGUGCUUCGGCGCCGUCCACAGACC